rnacentral:rRNA from 1 species
UGUCCAGACUCCUACGGGAGGCAGCAGUGGGGAAUAUUGCACAAUGGGGGGAACCCUGAUGCAGCGACGCCGCGUGAGUGAAGAAGUAUUUCGGUAUGUAAAGCUCUAUCAGCAGGGAAGAAAAUGACGGUACCUGACUAAGAAGCCCCGGCUAACUACGUGCCAGCAGCCGCGGUAAUACGUAGGGGGCAAGCGUUGUCCGGAUUUACUGGGUGUAAAGGGCGUGUAGCCGGGCUUACAAGUCAGAUGUGAAAUCCGGGGGCUCAACCCCCGAACUGCAUUUGAAACUGUAGGUCUUGAGUAUCGGAGAGGCAGGCGGAAUUCCUAGUGUAGCGGUGAAAUGCGUAGAUAUUAGGAGGAACAUCAGUGGCGAAGGCGGCUUUCUGGACUGUAACUGACGCUGAGGCACGAAAGUGUGGGGAGCAAACAGGAUUAGAUACCCCUGUAAU